GACCGAGCCCCUCCCACUCCGCACCAGUUCCCCCAACUCUCCCUACCAUCUCACGCACGCCGGCCGUCCACCUCGCCGUUUCGGUCCCCGCAUUGUCCGGCACCUCUGUUCCCCGCCCGCUCGCCGGAGACUCGCCGCGAUGCAUGUCAGCGAAGGGAGGUGGUCCUCGGAGGUGGAACCUUACAAUUGUUCAUAUGGUGGAGAGUCAAAAUUUGAAAUGUAAAACUUCUACUUAUCCAUAGUAGGUGCAACAUGUUGUAGCUGAACAGAUGAUCUUUAUCAGCAUUUUGGCAGAUGUGGUUUAUCUUCAUCAUAUUUCAGUAUUAGCCAUGACAGCGUCUUUUCGUUUAUUUAACUAUUUUUCCUCUUUCUUGCUUGAGAAAAGUAUAAGAAGAGAAAAGGAUCAUUGAUUCUUGACCAUGAGAUUUUGUCAGAAUUCCUCAUGACCAUGCAUGAUCAACGAGGAUUUGACUGAUGUAUCUUUUUUCUGAGGCUAUAGGAGAUCAUUUUGCUGGGAUGAUGACAAGAGGUCCUGUCAUGGACUUCCAAGUGCAAUAUCUUGUACAUGUCACUCUGGUUAAGAAAAAACAUACUCUCUCAGAGGUGGAAGCUUAGAAAUUGUUCAUGUGCUGGAGAUUUGAGACGAAAUUUGAAGUGGCAAAUUUCUAGUUACACCCAUGGUACUUGCAGCCGCACAGAUGAUCUUUACCAACAUUUUGUCAGAUGCAUUUCAAUAUUUGCCAUGACGCCGUCUUUUUUAUUUAUUUAUUCUUGCUUGAGAGAAGUGUAAGAAGAGGAGGAAAGGACCAUUAAUUCUUGACCAUAAGAUUCUUUUCAGAAUUUCUCAUGAUCAGGCAUGAUCAACAAGGAUUUGGCUGCUUCUUUAACUUGCGCCACAAAAAAAAAAACUUGCCCCAUUUCUUGUUUAAUGCUUGGAAGUCAUAAAC